GCCUCAGCCAACAUCUUGACUGCAAGCUCAUGAGAGACCCGAGCCAGAACUACCCAGUUAGGGGCUGGGCAGUGGCUCAACUCGAGGCAGAUCACCCACCCACUUCCAAGAUCCAACUAUAAGCUUUUUAACUGCAGCAACUUAAGUAUACGCUACUAGAACUGGAAUUAAUCAUUCUAUACUUAAAACAAAAAACCCUAGGGUCUCCUGGAUUUCUGGGACAUGCAAUUGUCAUCAGUAAGAAGGAAUUUCAAAAUAAAGGACUCCACCUUUUCUAAAAUUUAUGCCAAUUACUUGAUUUCCUUGUCUUGUUAAAUCCUCCUAAAUUGUGUGGGACAUUACUAACCACAGCAAGCAUCUGUGUCUGGUUCUUGAUUUUUAGUGAAAUGGCUUUUAGUGUUUUGUUGUUUAGAAUGAUAGUUGCUGUUAGUUUUCUUUAGUUGAGGUAUACAUAAUAAAAUUUAACCUUUUAAAGUGUACAGUUUGAUGAGUUUUAACAACUACUGAUAUCAAGAUCAAGAGCAUUUCUGUCACCCCAAAAAGUUCCCUGGUACUCCUUUGCAGACAUUCUUUUAUAUCUUUACUUCAGUUUAAAUAAGAUACUUGCACUUAUGCUGUAACUCCAUUGUUAAUAUUUGCACAAGGCUGGGCACAGGGGCUCACGCCUGUCAUCCCAGCACUUUGGGAGGCGGAGGCAGGCUUGAGCCCAGGAGUUUGAGAACAGCCUGGACAACAUAGGGAGACCCCAUCUUUACAAAAGAAAAAAACCUCAACUUUGUUCAUAAUAAGCUCAAAGUAUCCCUUUUUUUUUUCUUUUUUUUUUUUCUGAGACCGAGUCUCGCUGUCACCCAGGCUGGAGUGCAGUGGUGUGAUCUCGGUUCACUGCAACUUCCACCUCCAGAGUUCAAGUGAUUCUCCUGCCUCAGCCUCCUGUGCAGCUGGAAUUACAGGUGCUUACCACCACACCUGGCUAACUUUUGUAUUUUUUAAGUAGAGAUGGUGUUUCACCAUGUUGGCCAAGCUGGUCUCAAACUCCUGACCUCAAGUGAUCAGCCCACCUCGGUCUCCCAAAGUGCUGGGAUUACAUGCCACUGUGCCAGGCCUACAAAAAAAAGUUUUAAGUUAGCCAGAUGUUGGUGGCACAUGCCUGCGGUCCAGCUACUCAAGAGGCUGAGAUGGGAGGACUGCUUGAGCCCAGAAGGUCGGGC
rnacentral:lncRNA from 1 species